GAGCGGCGAACGGGUGAGUAACACGUGAGCAACCUACCCUCAACUUUGGGAUAAGCCUCGGAAACGGGGUCUAAUACCGGAUAACACCAUACUUCUCAUGGGGUGUGGUUGAAAGUUCUGGCGGUUGGGGAUGGGCUCGCGGCCUAUCAGCUUGUUGGUGGGGUAAUGGCCUACCAAGGCGUCGACGGGUAGCCGGCCUGAGAGGGCGACCGGCCACACUGGGACUGAGACACGGCCCAGACUCCUACGGGAGGCAGCAGUGGGGAAUAUUGCGCAAUGGACGAAAGUCUGACGCAGCAACGCCGCGUGAGGGAUGACGGCCUUCGGGUUGUAAACCUCUUUCAGCAGGGACGAAGCGAGAGUGACGGUACCUGCAGAAGAAGGACCGGCCAACUACGUGCCAGCAGCCGCGGUAAUACGUAGGGUCCGAGCGUUGUCCGGAAUUAUUGGGCGUAAAGGGCUCGUAGGCGGUUCGUCACGUCGGGAGUGAAAACUCGGGGCUUAACCCCGAG
rnacentral:rRNA from 1 species